GGAAAUUUCACGUGAUAAAUAUUAGAUCAACUCCAUAAGAAGAAGAAACUUAGAAAUGCCCUUCCAGAGGUUUUAUAGCUAAUGGAUCAAUUGAUUAAUUUAGCUCCCAAAACAAUUAUUUAGAAGAGUAGAUUGGAAAGAAUUUUCAGGGAAACAUUAAUAUGAAAGCAGACUAACGUCUAAAUUCACAAGCAGCUUUAGACACUCUUACAUAUAAGCUUGUGUUUUAAUGCACAAACUGGCAUAUUCAAGCUGAAUAAUUAUUUUGUUUUUUUAUAUUAUAAGAAUUGGUAGAACCAUACAAUUUAAACACCAGACCUAGAUGUGCCCAUCAUGUGCAAUCAGUAUGUGAUGCACAUUGCCUCAGGAAGAGAAGAUAAAUU
rnacentral:misc_RNA from 1 species